rnacentral:lncRNA from 10 species
GCAGAACAUGGAAAUGACUUUCUAAAAAGGAUUUGAAACAGCUGAGAGCAACAUAAACAGCAGGUUAAAAGAUGAAACAAAUAUGUCGGUUUCCUAAUUCACAGAAUGAGGAUAAGAUCUGCUUUAUCAAAUGUUUGUGAGAGUUAACUGAAGUAAUAGAGGUGAAAUGCCUGGCAAUUUCACGUCAUUGAUGCUGCUGAUGAGGAAUUGCUCAUUACCCUGGUCUGCCUUCAGCAAGAAUCCUAUUAGCAGAGAACAAAAUACAUCCCAUGGAUCGCAUACUGGCAAUUGGAUGCUGUAGCCCAGGAGUGACACACAUCAUUUCCUCUUCCAACUCACUGGCCAGAACUAGUCACACAACCCUGCCCAACCACAGGACAGCAAGGAAAUGCAAUGGGAUCAUGUGCCUGGAAUGAGAGAAGUGGAACGGCACUAAGGACUACCAAAGUUUAUUAAGUAUUGAAGCUGCUAAAUAAGGCUAUUCAACAGGGGAGGGGAAAUGAGGGGUGGCAAGUAAACAGGUGAAAGAGUUUUGUUGUUGUUGUUAGCAUUUGGAUUUUCUUAAACUUUGAAAGAUUGAAGUAUGACCAUAGAGAUAAGUGUGCAAAUCAUAAAUGUACAGCUCAAUGAAUUAUCAGAAAGUGAACUCAUUUGUAAAAUUACCACCUAGAUCAAGAAAUAAAAUAUUACCAGUUCCCUAGAAACCCACGUUGUGACCCCUCCAAUUUCUACUUCUGUUCUUCCUCCCAAAGUUAUCCUAUAGACUGAAAAUUUAAAAGAAAUACACAUUUUCACACUCAUCAUGAAGGAAGUAGAAAGUAUCAUUCCUUUGGGGUUUCUCUAAACCUUGGGGAGAAUGA